UUUUAUCCUAAUAGUGGAAACUUUUCUGCUAGAACUAUUAUACACUGUAUCAUUUCCAAUUGGUUAAUUAGCCAUUUAUUUAGUCAACAAACUCCUUUAAUGAGGAUAAGAUUAUCACUGUAAGUCUUAAAUGUCAACAAUUUAUCCUCCACCACUGUAGCUUUCCUUCCAGUGCUAAUAUUGCUGUUUACAACACCUUGGCUUAGGCACCUGUAUUCUAUUUAAAAUGAAUAAAUCUUCCUUUUGCUUUGCUGCUGACUAACCAUCCUCUGUUGCAAUAUUGUCCAUCGAUCUUUUGAAAAAUUCCUCUGAGCUAAUGGUUCUGCCUCACUCUUUGCCAAUCUCUUUGUUUGGAGACACUUACAAAGUGAUAUAAUUGAAUGCAAUUUGUUACUUCUUCAUAAAUGCUAGGCAUUAUCUUGGUUUUGCAUGGAUUUACCACAGCACGGUCAGCUCCACAGGCUGUUUUUGUGAACUCUUACCUUAAGCUCUGCAUUCCUUCCCAUCUCUAGUUUCUUUUCUUGUAUUUGUAUUAUUUUUUUAUAUUUUGGAUUCUUAUAAUAUCUACAGUUUUGGUAACUUGAGAAUGCUUUUCAUUCAAAAGUUUGUCUAACUUUAUCCAAGCCAUGCAGUUGGUCCAGUAAAAAAUAUCACCCACAAAGAUCCUUUCCUCUUGUAUAAUGUCCACAGUGUUUGAUCCCUGUUCCCUCUCUGUAAGCUUCAACUGAACUGGGUGACUUUCUUUGCAUAGUAGUUUCAAAUUGGUGUGUCAAGGGUUAAUUCUGGUUUUUCUAGAAGACCCCAAAAGAUUACAAAAUAUUGUUUUAAGUCUUAGUUCAGUCAUAAACUCUUGAAUGUUUUCACAUUUUUCUACUGUUCAUUUUCAACAGAUCUCUUUGCAUAGAGGAAUAUAUACUCCUCUAGCUUCUUUAAUACAGCUUUAUAGUUAGGCUCCUGAGCUAACUGAAAGCUAUUAUACAGAAGUGUUUCAGCACUCAUUAUUGUCAGAACUAAAGGUAUUGUCUUUCUGUUUGAUGGUACCUAUUGCUUGCAAAUAUAGAACAACACUCUCAACCUUUUCCAAUUGUUCUCUGCACUUUGGUGUGGGGAGAGGGUGAGGGUAGAGUUGUCUUUUUACUGAUUCUUUCUCCUAUCCAGGGUAUGUUCUCAAUUUGUUUUAGUCCUGGUGCCAUGUGUUAUUCAGAAAUCACUCAGAGCUAAAUAAUCUUAUAGAGGUCUGAGUUCUAACUGUUUGGCAUCAUGAAAUAUGAGCCUUGGAAUAACAUAAUAGUGCUUUCCAACUGGCUGGUGCGAGGGAGUCUUAACUGUGAGCCCCACAGACAGAUUAUCAUUUGUCAAAUGUUCAUGAGCCAUUUGUAACAAGUCUCUAUUUUUUUCUAGCUCCUCUUAGUUUAAGCUUUGAAAAAUCAUGUGUCCUCUAAAACACUUUAGGCAGAGGAUGAGAAGAGGCAUGAAUGAGAAGACCUAAACAAGCUUUAUUGUGGAACAGUAGACAAGCCUCUGAAAUCCUUUAGUCUCUCUUAACUGGCUACACCCUAACUGAGGGACCUUCUCCCAAUUCCCAGCUCUUCUGAAUUAAGAAGUGUUUCUAAAUGAUAACGUUUAUCUAUACAGAUGGAAUUGAACUUACGCCUUCCUCAUUUUAGCUCAAUGCCCUAAUAACUGAAAUGUUCACUAAGAGGGAACACUUCCUAGAUGUACUACCAUGUUGUGAAUUUAGACAAAUACAUUUUUUCCCACCUGAAAUUAUUCACCAGCCUUCAAAUGAACUUGCUGAAUAGUUUCAGGAUGGCUGAAACCUCAGCUUUGGAGAAGCUUACUACUCAGAUUUUGUUGAGCUCUAAGCAGCUCUGCCCACAGAGAGGGAAUUCUUCAGUACAGGUCUUUGGUGACUUGAAGCUCACUUUUAGUAUACAUAAUGACAUGCAAUGAAUUUGGAGACUAUAGAAUCCAGCUCCAAGUGAGGACUUCAGGAUAUGUACCCAUAGCAGUAACUCUAAACAAUGGGGAAAAAUCAUCUUUGUGGUUGUCAACAUGUUAUGUGACAAACAAAAAGCUAAAUUUAGCUUAGUCCAAAUGCUGGACUAGUUCUCAUAUCUGUAAUCAAUAUAAAGGUAGUGUUAAGAGAAUCUUUUGCUGAUUUGUGUGUUUGCAGGAGUAGUUCAGUCCUCACCUUGGUUACUCUCUCUCUCUCUCUCUUCUUGAUGACUGUCUUUUACAGUGUGCAUGGGCAGAAGUACAUAAAACUAUUAAAUUCAUGGCAAAGUUAAUGAAAAUAUUUGUAUCCUUUUUUCUGCACUCUGGGGGCAGGCCCCUAUAUUUAGAACAGCGUAAGAAGAAAUGACUGAAAAAGCCAUCGUGCCUUUCCUCUCCCCUCCCUCUGGAAACAGGCUGGAAUUUCUGUUGAGGCCUGGACUCUGUCCAGAUUAUAAAAGCAUGCCAUCAGAUGUUGAGCCAAGAGAGUCUGCAGAAGGAACAACAUGGUGGGGUGAAAAAAAAACACACUGUUUUAUGGGUUUUUUAUGUCUACUUUUGAUGUAUGGCUUUGACACCUUGGUCUGAACACCGAGUGCUGUUAUGAUCCCUCUAUUUAUAACAGGCAACUUGAUGGAACAUGCAGUAUAGUUUGGCUCCCAAGGGUAUACUUACAUCAGAGGGGGAGCUGCUGGAAAAGUCAACAAUUCAAGCCCUUUAAUCCUGAGACUGCAUUCCCUUACUCUGAGCAUUGACAAGCAGCACUGCUAAAACAUUCUGCUAUUUUGACUUGUAGGGGUACCUUGUUUUUUUAGCAUCUACCAUUCCUGCUUGCUUUAAUCCCCAGUGAGCGAGUCAUUGCAUUGCACCACAAGCAGGUGAAGUGAUUCUAGGUCAAUGUUCAUAUGGCAGCUCAGAAAAAAAAAAAGAUCCUUGAGUCACUUCAUAGUUGAGGACAUUAUCUAACUCCCAUUGAUGGAACUGGAAAGAUUUCCAUGGAUUUUGGGCUUUGGAUGUGGCCCCAAAUGUUUAGGAGGUUUUAGACUGAUUUCUUUCUCAGGAUUCGUGUCAGAUUUUCUUAGAUGGUCGGCCCCUAUCGUAACUUGUAGAAGUUAAGACUUUGUGCUUGAGAUGUGCUUGGUUCUGUUUUCUAAACCUGGCAAAUACACCAUGCAUCUUCCCCUUCUUUAAAUGUCUUGUACAGUUAUCAUACUGCUGUAGCUCCUCUCUUGGAUUAUGUUUUCAUGUUAAUAAUGGUUAGCACAGUCUCUCUUUUUUGGGAUUAUCAAAAGAAAUUUUAACUCAAUUUGACUUUUUUCUUUAACAGUGAUUUUAAUUCUGGAAUCCUAAGUGGGAGAAAGGUGUUGGUGUCACUAGUAAAAUGGAUGAAAGGGAAAAUCUCUCUAGCAUUAGAUCAGAGGAUGAGGCAGUUGCUCAGAGGUGCUCCUUUUGACUGUGAAGGAACUUUUACAUACUGUGCUGCAGUAUGAUAACCUCUCAUGUCUGCUCAAGGGUCUGCAGUUGAGUUCCUGUGCCGGAGGAGAUGAGGAUCACCUGCACUCCCACUGAAUCCCACACACUCUCUACUUCGCAGCAUGGAAGAAGCUCCCAAGAAAGUCACUGUCAUGGAAUGCAGGGAGCGUGAAUCCUUUUUUCCCCUCCUUCUACAUCACCACACUGAUUCAGAUGUGAUCAGAACCCCCAUGCCUGGGGCGAUGAAAAAGAGAUUUGCUUUUUGAUGACUAAUGCAAACAGAUGCUGCUUUCCCUGGAAUCUGUCUCUGGUAUCUCCACUAUGUUUGCAGUGGAGUCUUGAAAAACAGAAUUUGUUUUCCUGCUUAUGAGGGAUUGUCAGUGGCUGUGCUAACCCCUCUAAUCUGAUGGGCAUCAAAACAGCAAAAAGCCCCAAAGCGUUCAGUUGUUUCUGCAUGUUUGUGGGUAUGCAUAUUGGGGAAAGAGUCAACAAAAGCCUUCAGGCUGGGUGGAUUACUACUCACAGCUGGACAGGAUUAGAGAACAUUGAAUGUUGUCCCUAAACUUCAGUCCUUUUAUGAUAAAAUAUAAUCCUGCAAAAUGCACUCAGUUAAAGUUGAAAUACUGAGUAAUUAUAUUGUCAAAGACACAGUUUUAAAUAACUAUUAAAAUCCUUGUACUUAUCUACCAGCAAUGAAUUUCUGUUGCACAGAAAAUCCACUGGGAGUCUACUCACCUGUACUGACCCUUUUGAACCUUGCUCAGCAUGCUAUUGCCAGCUGCAGUUUUCCCUUCCAGAUUUCCUGUCCACUUACUUUGUGGACCAAAUGCUAUUCAGCUUACGGGAGCUGAUUCUCUAAUGGGUUACUGCGAUACAACUACAACUUUCUGACUCAAAAACAAAAUGGUUUUGAGUUUUACACCUGUAAGAGUGGCACACAAGAAGAACCUGAUCAAGUCAGAUAAUAUAUAUAGUAUGUGCCCCUGUAGCUCCAAAAUGGAGGCCACCUAACCAGCCUGAAUUUUGGUACCCUUUGGUGGCUGCAAUUCUAAUUCAUAGAUUCAUAGGUUCAUACAAGUUAGGGUCGGAAGGGACCUCAAUAGAUCAUCGAGUCCGACCCCCUGCAUAGGCAGGAAAGAGUGCUGGGUUUAGAUGACCCCAGCUAGAUGCCUGUCUAACCUCCUCUUGAAGACCCCCAGGGUAGGGGAGAGCACCACCUCCCUUGGGAGCCCGUUCCAGACCUUGGCCACUCUAACUGUAAAGUUCUUCCUAAUGUUGUUACACCUCAGCUCUGUAUUCUUGGGCAACCCUGGCACAGGAUGCAGUCUGUCUGACUCACAAAGGACUCCCCCCCCCCCUUCCUCUACAUAAACGAAACUGAUUAAGAUGCAGUGAGAGACGCACCUAAAACUCUCCAGAUAAGGGUGAUAAGAGUGAAACAACUGCCCUAGGUCUCAUUUACAUCCGAGAUGGAACCAGAUGACCAUUCAUUUACAUGAGAGAUGGAAAACAGAAAGCCUGAAGCAGAGACUGCAGUGAAUUCUGGGACCAGAGAAGCAGGAGAGCGCUGCAUGAUGGGGAAUCUGUGCUUCCAAUGUUAAUUAACCCAUGUUCACACACACCCAGCUCAGCAUUUAUCAGACCAGUUCUAAUCUGGAUUUGCUAAGGACUUUUCUCCCCCCAGACACACACACAGCUCUAAGUUUAAUAGGCAUCUCGGGCCGUACAUUCCCCGGUCCCACUAUGGGAGGCCUGUUUAAACUUGAUUGACUAAAACUCGGUUGCUGGGUUAGGGAAUGCUGAGGCAAGAGACCGAGUCCGAGGGGGUAUGGGCAACAUUUGAACAAUGGUUAAGGGUUCAUCACAGCAUCCAGCCUGCUGGAGCCCUAAUCCCAGGUGUUGUCGUAUCUUUCCUGAGACGACUGGUGGGAGUCCUCUCCACAAAAGGUUAUGAGCACCCCAAUAAUUGCUUUAAGUCCGUUAAAAGACUAUAGUAAAAUCUGGAAAAGUCAUGCUAAGCUGAGGCUUGUGCACAACAAGUAAAAAUCCAAAAUCCUGAUACUGCAAGCUAUCUAUUGUUCCUGAAGAAACCAUGAGAUAUCCCAUCAGGAUAUCUGCCAUCCAUAGGAAUCUCAAGCUGGCUCCCAAGUAUUUGGGUUACUCCCUAAUGUUAAGUGUUUCCUGAUUAUCAAUCAGUUUCCUGAGAUGGUCCAAACCAGAUAACCCCUUGUCAAUAGAAAAGACAAUGAUUUACACUACUGAGGGUGCUUCAAAGCAGCUGAACUGAGGGUAUAAAAAUCUGUAAGUGUGUGUGCAUAAAAAAAAAAAGAAGAAAGAGAAGAAAGAAGAAGAAGAAGCAGGGAGAAAGAAAAGGAGAAAGAAAGAAGAAGAAGAAAACUCCUGUGCUGACACCAUCCCCUGUCGUUCUUGGGACGCUGGAAGAACAGAUCGUCUCUCUUUUCAAGGAUUGUGCUACGGACUGUGCCUGUCAGCUUUGCAGCCUGGGUACCAUGGACUAGGUGAGAUUCCCAGCGUUCUCUCUUCUUUCUAGGCAUAAACUUCUGAACCUGACCUGUAUCAGUUAAGCUUGAGCUAAGUUUCCCCAAAUACUUAGUGAAACCAGGGUAGUAUUGUCAUUGUUUGUGUUUGUUUUUCUUUUGCAUGUCUAUUACUACUAGUACUAUUAUACAUUUCAUAUGCUUAGCAAUAAAUAACUUUUAUAGGCAAACUGGAA